rnacentral:rRNA from 1 species
UACAGAGGUCUCGAGCGUUGUUCGGAUUCAUUGGGCGUAAAGGGCGCGUAGGCGGCGGGGCAAGUCUGGUGUGAAAUCUCGGAGCUCAACUCCGAAAUUGCACUGGAUACUGCUCUGCUAGAGGGCUGGAGAGGAGAUCGGAAUUCACGGUGUAGCAGUGAAAUGCGUAGAUAUCGUGAGGAAGACCAGUGGCGAAGGCGGAUCUCUGGACAGUUCCUGACGCUGAGGCACGAAGGCCAGGGGAGCAAACGGG